rnacentral:rRNA from 1 species
AUUGAACGCUGGCGGCAUGCUUUACACAUGCAAGUCGAACGGCAGCGCGGGCUUCGGCCUGGCGGCGAGUGGCGAACGGGUGAGUAAUACAUCGGAACGUGCCCAGUAGUGGGGGAUAGCGUGGCGAAAGCCGGAUUAAUACCGCAUACGACCUGAGGGUGAAAGCGGGGGAUCUUCGGACCUCGCGCUAUUGGAGCGGCCUAUGGCAGAUUAGCUAGUUGGUGGGGUAAAGGCCUACCAAGGCGACGAUCUGUAGCUGGUCUGAGAGGAAGACCAGCCACACUGGGAAUGAGACACGGCCCAGACUCCUACGGGAGGCAGCAGGGGGGAAUUUUGGACAAUGGGCGAAAGCCUGAUCCAGCAAUGCCGCGUGUGUGAUGAAGGCCUUCGGGUUGUAAAGCACUUUUGGCGGGAACGAAAAGGACUGUGCCAAUACCACGGUUCGAUGACGGUACCCGAAGAAUAAGCACCGGCUAACUACGUG